rnacentral:lncRNA from 1 species
CGCCCUUAUAGACCCAGGGAAGGGCGAGUCUUAAAGGUGCCGCGCCUAACGGAAGGCAGGACCGUGGGAAUCUAGGAGAAUCCCUCCCUCUGCCCCAAAAGAAGAGAUUCAGAGCCAGGAGCGGGUGAAGAUAUGCGGAAAGAAUGGCAAGAGGGCUCGGUGAAGAAAGGACUGCAGUGUGUGGCAUCACACUCCCUUCCCCCCAACCACACACACCCACACUCACGGGGGCAUGGAUCACACACACAGCCCUCACACCUAAACCAAGAGAGGCGGCGGCAUAGUAUGGAAGUGAACACGGUGACUACGGACGGCCCUAGCUGUCAAGCCCCUGAUUCCCAUAAUUAUAAUCUUGCUCCAGGGACCGGUUGGAGCCGAGAGCUGUGUGACCUUGAAUAAGUCGCUUCUUUUUUCUCAAUCUUAAUUUUCUUAUCUGCAAAAGAGGAGGGCAAGAGUAGACCUCCCGCAAGUACACCUCCUCUCCUCUUCCCCCAAACACCUCUCCAUCUCGACUGGGUCACAAGAACUCUGGCCCAACCAAACCCUUCAGCGCCCCACAAGCACCCUUCCACCAAAAGGGCAGCGGCUCUUGGAUCUUCCAAGAGCCAAGUAGGGGGCGCCCAGGAGCACCCCUCCAUGCUAGAGGACUCUCAGACUCAAGCUUCUCCCUCCUGGCCCAGGCUGGAGGAGCCUGGAAAGCUUGCGUUCUUGUUCCAGUGGGGCAGAUCUGAAUCACUCUCCAUCUGCAGAGACCCCAAUCCCCAACACAGUCACGAGCCCCUCUCCAAGCCCCCCAGCCUGCUGCUCCGUUUGGGAGGAUCGUGCCCCCACCUCCAGCAGUCUACUGGAGUGGGGGUGGGGCGAAAGCGGAAUCACUAAAGAACAACCUCCCCUCCCCGUUCCCGUCAGAGAAGUGGCCACAAGUGCCCCCACAGGACUUCCCACUGGAAAGGGAAGUGCCACACUCCCAGGCCUCCAUCCCAGUGAGGAGACUCAGCUUGAUCCGGCUGGCAGAGCUCUCAAACCCACCGGUCCGACGACCCCGCUUUACAGACGAGGAACCAGAGACGAGGAGUGUACACAGACCGGGAGCGGACACUGGGUUUUGUCCACGGUCGCAGUGGUUACAAAGCCGGGUCUAGAAUUGAGGAGGAACCUGAGAUCAGAACUUUCCCCAAAAGUGAAAAUGUGGGACAUCAAAGCAAUACCCACCAAGACUCUAUGGAGGCUUCUUUGAAGAAAAAUAAAUAAGCCAGGAUACAGACACACACCCCACCACCUUCAAGAGGAAGAAUGUAGGUCAGCAUCUUUGCCACUACUCUAUGUGAAACAGCCUAUGAUCUUGGCAAAAACUAGUAACCACAAGCCCAUCCCAUCCCACUAAAAAUCCCACCACCUUCCCAUAGCUCUCAGCUUCAGUAAGAAAAGCCAGCAAGAAAAGGACUUUCUUCCUCCUUUCAAUCUGCUCCCCGGCUGUUUGAAUUACACUUAAGACUUCACUGACAAACAUACAUCAGCUUUUGCUCCCACAAGGGCAGCGGAAGCCAAGCAGGGACUCUAAGUCUGCUUCACGCAUCAUUGACAGAACCAACCCUGUUCCAAUUGCUGAAGUCUUAAGAGCAGCAAUGACCUAGAAAUUGACAGUGGGGGGAGAACUGAAGGAAAGGAAACUGACAAACCAGUACACAGAAAACCCUAUUUCCAAAUACCAGGGGAAAGAGAGAGAAAGGAGGUAGAGGGGAAAGAGAUUUGGCCCCUUUGAAUCUGCAAAUGUGAUCUUGGCUCAGAGCCAUGGAGGAUACACAGCAGCCCCAUUGCGAGUCAAGCCAUGUUCCUGACUCAAACCCUACAGUUAAGAGGAAGGCGCCAAGCCUCAAACACAACGAGGUGGGGAGGCCGCUCCUUUUUGGGCAGGAUCCUACUGUGGACACAGAACAGACAGCAGCUGCCCACAGUGUGGAAACAAACUGUAAAGCAGUCACGUCUCUUAAGGCUGCAGCAUCCAAUAAAAUGUAAUUUAAAUCAA